GAGAAGUGAAGCCAUGGAAAUAUCAAAAAUAAUAUUGUUUUUAUUUGGAUUUUCUGUAUUUUUCUUCUGGGGAAUAUGUGAAAAAAUAUGUGGACCUCCAAAAUCAGAUGGUACACAAACAUGCUGCCCUUAUUUUCAGGCAAUAGGUACAGAUUGUGUGGAAUGUCCAGUAGGAUACUUUGGUAUGAACUGCAAUAUUUCCUGCUUUUACCCAGCAUAUGGUAGAAGAUGUCAGAACAGGUGUUAUUGUUCCAAUGAAGAUUGCGAUAACGUAAUAGG